AGAGUUUGAUCCUGGCUCAGAAUGAACGCUGGCGGCGUGCUUAACACAUGCAAGUCGCACGAGAACGCUUCAGCUUGCUGGAGCUAGUAAAGUGGCGCACGGGUGAGUAACGCGUGGGUAAUCUACCUCCGAAUUGGGGAUAACACUGCGAAAGCGGUGCUAAUACCGAAUGACAUCUCAGGGACCUCGGUCUCUAAGAUCAAAGGUGGCCUCUACAUGUAAGCUACUGUUUGGAGAUGAGCCCGCGUACCAUUAGCUAGUUGGUAGGGUAAUGGCCUACCAAGGCCGCGAUGGUUAGCUGGUCUGAGAGGAUGAUCAGCCACACUGGAACUGACACACGGUCCAGACUCCUACGGGAGGCAGCAGUGAGGAAUUUUGCGCAAUGGGGGAAACCCUGAUCCAGCCAUGCCGCGUGCGGGAAGAAGGCCUUCGGGUUGUAAACCGCUUUUGGUCGGGAAGAAAAGGCAUCUCUUAAUACGGGGUGUUCUUGACGGUACCGGCAGAAUAAGCACCGGCUAACUACGUGCCAGCAGCCGCGGUAAUACGUAGGGUGCGAGCGUUAAUCGGAAUUACUGGGCGUAAAGCGUGCGCAGGCGGUUCGCCAAGUCUGAUGUGAAAGCCCCGGGCUCAACCUGGGAAUGGCAUUGGAAACUGGCGGGCUGGAGUGUGGCAGAGGGGGGUGGAAUUCCGCGUGUAGCAGUGAAAUGCGUAGAGAUGCGGAGGAACACCGAUGGCGAAGGCAGCCCCCUGGGCUGACACUGACGCUCAGGCACGAAAGCGUGGGGAGCAAACAGGAUUAGAUACCCUGGUAGUCCACGCCCUAAACGAUGUCAACUAGGUGUUGGGGGAGCAAUUUCUCAGUACCGUAGCUAACGCGUGAAGUUGACCGCCUGGGGAGUACGGCCGCAAGGUUAAAACUCAAAGGAAUUGACGGGGACCCGCACAAGCGGUGGAUGAUGUGGAUUAAUUCGAUGCAACGCGAACAACCUUACCUACCCUUGACAUGUCCGGAAGCCUGGUGAGAGCUGGGUGUGCCCGAAAGGGAACUGGAACACAGGUGCUGCAUGGCUGUCGUCAGCUCGUGUCGUGAGAUGUUGGGUUAAGUCCCGCAACGAGCGCAACCCUUGUCCUUAGUUGCUACGCAAGGGCACUCUAAGGAGACUGCCGGUGACAAACCGGAGGAAGGUGGGGAUGACGUCAAGUCCUCAUGGCCCUUAUGGGUAGGGCUUCACACGUCAUACAAUGGCCGGUACAGAGGGUUGCCAACCCGCGAGGGGGAGCCAAUCCCAGAAAGCCGGUCGUAGUCCGGAUUGCAGUCUGCAACUCGACUGCAUGAAGUCGGAAUCGCUAGUAAUCGCGGAUCAGCAUGCCGCGGUGAAUACGUUCCCGGGUCUUGUACACACCGCCCGUCACACCAUGGGAGUGGGUUCUACCAGAAGUAGGUAGGCUAACCGCAAGGGGGCCGCUUACCACGGUAGGAUUCAUGACUGGGGUGAAGUCGUAACAAGGUA
rnacentral:rRNA from 1 species